ACAUACGCAGUUAUCGGCUUUCUGUUUGGCUGCCGUGGGUUAGAAAAACGCGAAGCUCAGCAUCAGAGUAGGAUAUUAACAGUAUGGUUGACAGCUGAAACCCGCCAACCUAACAGACGGAGUUUACAGGUAACAUGAUGGAGGUGGCAGGUUCAUGGUCAGAAGUGUUUGAGGGCUCAGAGACGAAGGAGGAAUCGUCCGAGACGCUGUUGGGCAGCUCUACUCUCACUCUGGCUCCUCUGGUAUCGGACUCGCCAUCCAUCCGCCGCUCCCAACCCAUCCUGAUUACCUCAAACAGGGCGAAGGGCGUGGAGUCGUUCUCUUCCUCCGUCCCGUCCAUACCAAACCCGUUCCCUGAGCUUUCCAAAUCUCCGGUGCUCAUCAGUUCAUUUCCACCACAGUCGAGUGACAAACAUGUAAGUGUCCUUCCUAAUCAGCUAAUUCAGAGAUCCAAGGUAACCCUUUAAAUGUUUCCAGUAGUAAGUAUUCUUUUUGUGUUUUAAUAGCUCUAAAGUCUCUUUAUUUUGACUAUUUUGUUAAAGUGAGCACUGCAUGUUUAAUCCUCUCAUUCCCAAUUUUCAGUUUCCCUGAAUUCAAACCUCAUCUCAGACUUUCAGUCAUGCCUUUUAAAAGAAUACGUUUUACAAUUCUGCAGGCAAAUUAUCAUUAAUCCACCUUUGAAAGCUGUCCCCAGUGGAUCCUCCCGUGUUUUUUUUCUACAUUAGGUUGUAAUUUCAGUUUCACUUGCGGCUGAGUGCCAGAGUCGGGCCAGAGGAGUUAGAAAGUACGAUAUGAAGAAACACUUUGUUGGUUUAGGUCUUUUAUUUUCAUGGGAUUUAUUGUACUUUUAGGAAGUGUUUGUUUGGGCUAAUCGGAGCUUCUACUGAGUGAAUUCCAUCACACCUGCUUGGCUGACAGGUGCUAUCAGAACACGGAGCCUUUACCUGUCUGAUUGUGACUGACAGCAGAGCUAUGUUGCCAUGCCUGCAUGGACUUAUUUUGAAUCACAAACACUGCCAGAGUAAACAUGUCUGCAGUUACAUCAGCAUGUCAGCGUUUUGCACGAGCCAGCUGUGGACUGAAUUUAUUACUUCACUUUUUUCUGAAUAUUCCACCAGAAAACAUUGAUGCUCUUACCUUUUGUCACCCUCGAUUUGAGUGACGUCUGCGUGAGCUGAAAUGCACUCGGCGUGACUUAACUUUUUGUUCCCCUGAGGCCGUCUUCAGGUCUUUCCAGGGUUCAACAAAAUCAAUGUCCCAAUAGUCAGUAGACUUCCUUCUCUUUAAAUGAAUCGUUUGAGGUUAAUGAAACUGAGUGUGACUCUGCGUGGGCUUUAAGAUGAAGCUGCAGCCUGCCUCCUUUUACACAUGGCCAGCAGCACAGAGGUGCCAUGACUGGGACGGUGAACCCAGGUGGAGUGAAAAAAGUUUAUUUUCAGGUUCGACAGCAGACGCGCUUCAUUAGCGUAUCACAAUCAAAAACCCAGUGAAAGUCUUUUUGUCACACCACCUGCUCAGCAAGCUUAAAGGGGAAGAAAACAAUCUUUUCAGCUGCUCCCAUCCAUCACCAGCAGCUCCACACAAAGCGAUAAAAUACUGAAACUAAAGCUGAUCUUUGCUGCCAUCUGUAAAAUCACAGAAUGGUGAGUUCAUCCAGAUCAAGAAGCUGAGCGAGAGAGUGUGAGUCCAGCUUUGAGGCCACAAUUUGUGCACAGGAGUUUAGUCAUGCAGACACAAGAAAUGGCCAAAAGCACUCCCAUAAAUAAUAAAUCCUUUUUCCACUUUGCUGUGGAAGAACUUGACUGUCCUGCAAAGAAACCUGAACUCUGUUCCUCCAACACACCGUCUCUGAGCCGGGACGUAUCCAUGUUGGACCUUGGUAAAUUUCUGACUCCCUGCAGCUGGUUAAACAUCUGGUGCUGGCAGGGAAAGCAGAGGAUGUUUGCACAAGCUGAUUAAUUGGGUUUUAAUUUAAUUUACCAUUUUAGUUUCCAGCAAUUCUGAAAAUGAAAUGAUCAACUCAAAUGCACAGGUAACAUUGAGCCAUCAAACAGUUAAUUUAAAAAGUAGUUUUAAUUUUGGUAAAAACGAUGCAUCCUGACCUGUUUUUGAUCCCAUCAGUAGCAGGAAAAACGAAACCAGCGCAGGAUGCAAAGUCGUUAAUGGAGCAUUAACCUGAAAAGAAACAAACGAGGGAUGAGAUUGAAAUGAAUCUGGAAACACAAAAGCUCGUGAACAGAGUCGUGAGUCAGCUGCGUGUGGGCUGCAGAAGAUUUUCAGCUUUCCAAAUGGGCUGUGGCGAUCUGGAGGUUAUGAAUGACUAGCAUAGAGGAUAGUCUUCACUCUUUGCUUUCCAUUAGCGCACAUGUGCAUGAGUGUAAAGGUGUUGGUAGUAAACCAGUGAAACCAGUUCCUUUUGGAUUAAAAGAUAAAAUCAUGAGCUUUGUGUCUUAAAUACGGAAACGUAUGUAUUUAUCUUUUUCAAAUGAGCCGAGUGAAUAGUCAGUGGACUGACUGGAUGCUGACCUGUGGGGAUUUCAGCUAAAAGAAUUUUCCUCCCCCAUUAUCCCGCUUGGUCGAUGGGUACCUAUUUAUUAUGUCUGACGCAGUCACUCGCCCAACCAGUCUGGACAUAAUUGAUUGACAGGCGCAGGUUUCAGGGGUUUCUGGUCGGGCAGGUUCGUUGUCUUUUGCUUGAAAGCGUGCUGCGAGAUCCAGACAGUGUCAGACAGCAGCGCUCUGUCUCAUCCUGACCGGUGAAUAGCCUGCACUCGGUUCACCUCAGCAGCAUCGGGAGUGCAUGGACACGACUGCUUCAUCGGUCUGUUUACUUCAGCGUGUGCAGAUGAAGAUGGGAGAGGAUUGGGUCUGAAGCCUGCGGUGUAGAUGCUCAAAGUUAAGAUGCAAACAAGAUGAAGACUAAAACAAGCCUCGCUCAUGUCACACUAAAAUUAGGAAGAAUUUAAAAGUCCUUCAAUUUAAGUGUCAAGGCUUAUUAAAUACAUUGUGGCUGUCUGACGUUGCACAACAGUUGGCAGGAUCUUGGCUGCUUGUCUCGAAUGCGCUGAUGUUGAAACGGUGCCAAAACCAGCUGCAAGACCCGUGUAGCGCACUUGUUUGCGUCUCAGUGCUGUUUUUACCUCGCACUACAGUUGUUCCACAGGUAUAGCCAGUGGUGCCAGCAGUGAGCUUGAUAUCAUACUGUGCACGUAGCGUCUAGCACCUCAGUGGUGAUACGAGCAGAGCAUCUGCAGACUCUCUCCAGGAUCCUAAAUGCUGCUUUUAAAAAGCAGUUUUCAUUGGCUCAUUCCAAAUCCAACACUGAUCUAUUUCCCUCAUCUGGUUAUUAGUUUUAUUGCCUGAUGUGGUUGUGAUAAUUGUCACUAGGUGGUACGGCAAGUGUGUAAUUGGAGGUAAUAUGAACCUCAAAGCUGAGUCUCACACUGAAUUCUUAAAACGGAGCGUUCUUCUGCUCCUCCCUUAACUCGGUGACCUAUCGCGGUUAAGUUCAGGUGGCUUAACGUGAAUGUAGAGGGUGGGAGCAAAGACGGAUCCCACUACAAGACACAUCCGAGGAUGGAUGCUCAGGAAUCUGAGCUGAUGGGCUUUAAUCACAUCUGUUCUGCUGUUAAAUAAGAACGUGCUUAUCAAUGAGGUCUUUUUUUUUUUCCCUUUCUUUUUAAAGUGCAGGGGAAAUGAUAGCAGUGUCUGUAUGUGGCACAAGGACGUAAACACAGGGAUGGGUCAGGGUCUCACGCUUACUGAGGCUCUUCUACAAAUCAUACAGUUCAGCUGUGAGCACAGAUUUUAAGUUUGUCAGUAAAUCAGCGUUUCGUUCGUUGCUCCAUCUGAGCCGUCAGGUUAUGUCAAAUAUUCAUGGUUGCCUGUAAAAAGUGCACUUUCUCAUAGUUUUUAAUUCUCACUUAGCUACUAUAAAAAAAGCUGCAACCUGUGUCUGAAACUUCAAACUAUAAAAUUAAGUCUCUUGGGAGAUUUAUUGGCUGUCAGUAGCUCACAAUGAGAGCGUGCCCAGGCCUGCCAGCAGCAUCUCUCUUGACUGUCCUAGGUAAUGCCUAUUACUGCCCUCAUAAAUGUAAUUUAUUUCUUUAAGUUAAAAAGCUAAUUAAUAUCUAAAUGCAGAAAACAGAAGGCGUCUCUGCAAUUCUGUUAUGCAAGGCUGGGAAAUUCUAAACUAAAUCUGACUUCAUAUUAUCAUAUGAAGUUAGAUUUUGUUUCUAAUUUUGUUUUAACAAAGAUUAAUAUUAGCAUCAGCUGACUUCAUUAUGUAUGAAGUAUUGGAUAAAACAUGAUGUUUUUGGUAAUUUUAUUGAUGUGACGUGUGUGUGUGUGU